UACGAAGGGGGCUAGCGUUGCUCGGAAUCACUGGGCGUAAAGGGUGCGUAGGCGGGUCUUUAAGUCAGGGGUGAAAUCCUGGAGCUCAACUCCAGAACUGCCUUUGAUACUGAAGAUCUUGAGUUCGGGAGAGGUGAGUGGAACUGCGAGUAUAGAGGUGAAAUUCGUAGAUAUUCGCAAGAACACCAGUGGCGAAGGCGGCUCACUGGCCCCGAUACUGACGCUGAGGCACGAAAAGCGUGGGGAGCAAACAGGG
rnacentral:rRNA from 1 species